UACGGAGGAUCCAAGCGUUAUCCGGAUUUAUUGGGUUUAAAGGGUGCGUAGGCGGGCUGUAAAGUCAGCGGUGAAAGUUCGUGGCUCAACCACGAAAUUGCCAUUGAAACUUCCAGCCUUGAGUGUGGACGAGGCAGAUGGAAUUCGUAGUGUAGCGGUGAAAUGCUUAGAUAUUACGAAGAACUCCAAUUGCGUAGGCAGUUUGCCAGGCCACAACUGACGCUGAGGCACGAAGGUGCGGGUAUCAAAC
rnacentral:rRNA from 1 species